UUGGCAUUGAAGUUCGAACCUAUUAUUAUUGAGCAUUGGAUUUUGGUGUAAUUGUUGAGAGAAGAAAGCUAAAGGUUUUUUUCUGCAGAUUUGUGGUCAUUGGGAACGAAGCCUCCCUUUGAUUUGCAUAACUGAGAUGGUGAGAGAUCCACCGAGGGGUUGCAGGUUGGAAAGGAUAAAUCAGUCCUUUCAUUUGUGCUUAAAAUGUGUGGCCAAAGGCCAAAUUUGCUGAGUUCGACUGGAAGUUCUUUGGAGAUAAUGUGUGCUUAGAGUCUUCAUUGAUACUGCUAUUCAAGAAUCGAUUUGCAUCUCCAUAUUUUGACUUUUUAGAGUCUCAUCCAUUACCAGUCAAAAUUGCAGCUUCAGAAGGACCACGAUUUUAUUCAUGGAAGCCCAUAUAUGCAUCGAUUUCCCUUCCAGCUGGAACGCUCCAUUCUGAGGCCACUAUAAUGAAAUUUGGUAUUUGAAAAGAGGCUUGGAGGCUGCGUAUAAUUUUACUCUACCGCAGAACAAGGACAGCUGAGAGAGGGCAACGUCUUGAGCUAAGCAGGAACUCACUUCAUCAGAUAUUGAUUACUUCUUUCAGCUCCAACAUAGGACUCUUCCAUAAUCAGGUCUUGAGCCAGGACUCCGCAAUCUUUACCAGCAUUCUCUCUGCCUGCGACAAACUUGGAGUUCGAAAACGGGAUGUGGACAUCCGUUACAGGUUAAAGCAAAGAGGAUUUUUGUCAGAUUUCGUAGCUGCAACUUCCCUUGUAGGCAUGUAUCCAAAAUGUGUAAGCAUAGAACAGGCACGUGAACUGUUUGACAGAAUGACUUCAAGAAUUGCUUGAUAAAAUGCCAUGAUCCCAAGAUAUACAAAAUGUGGAAGCAUAGACAAGGAACCUGAACUGUUUGUUGAAUGCCUCAAAGCACACUGAUCUCAUGGAACGCCCUGGUUGCAGGAUAUUAACGAAAUGGAUUUGUUAAAAGGGUUUUAGAUACUUGCAACCAGAUGUCAGAGCGUUUUCUCUGUCUUUGGCUGUGUUUAUUAUAGGAGUUAAGCGACGAUCUGUAUCUGGUCUUGAUGGUUUGUAAUGGUCUUUAUGAUCCGUAUCUGGCCUAAUUUGUUUAAUUUGGUAAGGACUUGAAUCUAGUGUCUAUGAUAGGCAUGCACAAUUACUCUGUAAUCUAGUAAGACUUAUGUAUAAUUUUUGUGAUCAAUAAAAAAAAAGGUACUUUAAUUU